rnacentral:lncRNA from 1 species
CGCCCCAUCUUCUCCAGGCUCUAUGGGGGGCCUGGUGUCCCUGGGGGCAGCAGUUGUGGCACUCAAGCCCGCCAGGGGGACCCCAGCACCGGCCCCAUCAUUGAGGAGGUUGAUUGAAUGGCCCUUCGUGAUAAGUCAGCUGUGACUGUCAGGGCUAUGCUAUGGGCCUUCUAGACUGUCUUCUAUGAUCCUGCCCUUCAGAGAUGAACUUUCCCUCCAAAGCUAGAACUUUCUUCCCAGGAUAACUGAAGUCUUUUGACUUUUUGCGGGGAGGGCGGUUCAUCCUCUUCUGCUUCAAAUAAAAAGUCAUUAAUUUAUUAAAACUUGUGUGGCACUUUAACAUUGCUUUCACCUAUAUUAGCAGAGAAUGAAGAGAAACUUAAGUACUGGCAGUGUUUCCAUGUGUGAUCCUAUGAUUCAAAUUCUGUAUUUUUGUCAUAGGAACCUGGUUGAGUUUGUCAGUCUAGCU